rnacentral:rRNA from 1 species
CCCGCUGAACUUAAGCAUAUUAGUAAGCGGAGGAAACGAAAUCAACUGAGAUUCCCCUAGUAACUGCGAGUGAAGAGGGAAGAGCUCGAUAUGCAAAUUGGACUUGUUCCAAGGUGUGCAUUGCUUCUUUGCCCGGUUGGUCUCAGGCAUAAACGGUUUGUGAGGACCUGUCACAGAGGGUAAUAGCCCCGUCCGCCUGAAGCGCCAGCUAUUCGGCAAGAAGCGAGCAGAGUAGCGUUCCUUGUUAUUGGAGCGCGAACCGGUGAUAAACUUCAUCGUAGGCUAAAUAACAUCGAGAAUCCGAUAGCGAAGAAGUACCGUGAGGGAAACGACGAUGUCACCCAGGAAUGGGGAACUGUGAUCACUGAAAUCGACGAAAAGGAACCUGCAAAAACGGCAUUGCUUAACCGCUGCAUUGGUCUUUGGCCUUUGUUAGUGCUGAGCAACCUGCACCUGCACUUUACAGUAGGUUUCAUUCUCUGCCAUCUGCUUGUGGAUACGUCUAUUAGCUUGAAGUAGAGAGUGGAACCAGGUGCUUGAUGUUUUUGCUGACCCGUCUUGAAACACGG